CUUGUGUGUCUAUUUGCCCAAUAAUAUAGAUCACUUAUCCCUUCCUUAUCUUUAUGAGUCUAGCUAUGACGACCUAGUGAUCUUUCAUCGGCUUUCAGCUCUCUCCCUUCUCCACACAUUUAUCUGUCUCCACCAGUACUUCUUCGAUCGAUCUGCUAUUCUAUAUAAGCUUAUUUGUUUGAACUUUGAAUUACUGGUCGGUUGAUCUUCUUGCCGGAAAUUAAAACGAUUAGCGAGAGAGAGAGAAAGAAAGAAGAAUGUAUGCACCGCCUGGUCAUGAAGGGAUGUCGCAUCCAUACGUUGAUCAUGUUCGGAGACGCCAUGAAGAGAAAGGCUUCCUCUACGCUUGUUUGUUCGCCUUGUGUUGCUGUUUCUGCUGCUUUGAGACUUGCGAGUGCUGCUUAGAAUUUCUUUGCUGUUGCUGCCCUUAGCAUACAAGCUGGCAUUAAUCUAGAGGAGAGGAGAACGGCGGUCCACGUCUGUGUUGCAGUACUCAUGUUAUUAUCAUGAUGUAUCGUUUAAUUUUCUUUUAUCAACCAACAAUAACUGCCACCAGUCUCCAACCUCACAGUUUAUAUGAUUGGUGUCUGUCCCCAGUGUGAGAUAUAUAAAUAUAUAUAUAUAUAUA